rnacentral:rRNA from 1 species
UGUACACGCUGUGACUAGCAUAUCAAUAAGCGGAGGAAAAGAAACUAACAAGGAUUCCCCUAGUAACGGCGAGUGAAGCGGGAAGAGCUCAAAUUUGAAAUCUUAAAGGGUUUCCCUUUACGAAUUGUAGUUUAAAGAAGUGUUUUCUGUUGAGAUUUUGGUAAAAGUUCUUUGGAAUAGGACAUCAUAGAGGGUGAGAAUCCCGUAUUUGACCUUUACUUUCAACUUUGUGAUACACUUUCAAAGAGUCGGAUUGUUUGGGAAUGCAGUCCAAAAUGGGUGGUAAAUUUCAUCUAAAGCUAAAUAUUGGCGAGAGACCGAUAGCGAACAAGUACCGUGAGGGAAAGAUGAAAAGAACUUUGAAAAGAGAGUUAAACAGUACGUGAAAUUGUCAAAAGGGAAGCGUUUGACACCAGUGUUGUUUUUCUGAAAAUCAAUUAAAGAACUGUUUAUGCUAAGCUGUUUAGACUUUAUCAGCUAUCUGUUUAGUUUUGAGCUUUUCUUUAAUGCACUUUUCAGUUAACAAGUCAACAUCAAUUUCUUUUGCUGCUAAAAAAGCUUGAGGAAGGUGGCUUGAGAUUCGUCUUAAGUGUUUAUAGCCUCUUGCCUAUGCAGUCGGAGAGAUUGAGGUCUGCAGCGUAGAUCCUUCGGGGCUAAAUGCAUUUGUGCUAAGUUAUAGCAUUUUAUAGACAACUUGUUGACUAUGAUUUGUCUUGUAGCUUACUCGCUUAUGUUAUUUUACCUACGCUUAGGAUGUUGAAGAUGUAGCACAUCAU